GGGUGCAGCCACCCGGCCUUCGCCCGCACCUGCACCCAGAGGAGCACCCGGGUGGGACCCGCAUGAGGGGAGGCGGUUUGGACCGCGGUUUGGACCAUGAUCAGGAACGACCGGGGCACCGGGGAGCCGUGGGGUGAAUGGGAAGUGGCAAAAGUUGAUUUUUAUGGCAACACAGCCUGUGCUGCGGAGCCUGCAGCCUGGGGAACUUCCAGGGAAGUGGAAGCUGUGAUCCCGCAAGGGUGCGGCGGGGGCCGUGCCCCGUGGGGUCCCCUGCCCCCGCUCUGCCGCCCGUGGUGGGGGUCUCCCUGCCUGCACCGGCAUCCGGCCUCUGCAACCUCUCUGCCUGCCCCGGUCCUCGUGAUUUUGUUUUAUUUUUAUGUUUAAAGAUUUUUAUUUAUUUAUUUGAGAGAGAGAAAGAGCGCCCAGGUAGGACGGACAGAGGGAGGAGGAGAAUGUCCAGCGGACUCCAGGCUGCGCGCAGGGCCCGGUGUGAGGCUCGGUCCCAGGACCCCGAGAUUGAGACCUGAGCAAACCCGAGGGUCGGCGCUUGACCGACUGAGCCGCCCGGGCGCCCCGUCCUUCUGAUUUACCCUAAAACCAUUCCCAGCCCUGGGGUGCGAGUGGAGCCGGCCACGUGGCCUGGGGCGGGGUCGCGGCGGCCUUAGAGCCUCUCUGAGCGGCCUCCGCACCCCUGGGCGCAGCUGGAACCGGGCGCCUGCCCCACCCAGGCUGGAGCGGGUGGGGCCGCUCACGUGCCUUGACGCGCCCUCCGGUCCCGACGCGCCUCCGAGCCUGCAGCCUCCGGAAAAUGCUGGCACACGCGCGAGGUUGGCACCGGAGCGCCCCUGGACGUCCAGCCCAGAGCGGGAGCCGCGGGGCUCCUGUUCAAGUGCUCGGCCCGACGGCAGGUCUGGGGGCUGGAGGCUGCGAUCCCGCCCGGCGCCCACGGGGGCCACGGCCUGCCUGCGGGGCCACCUUCUGCUGUUCAGUGCCGUGAGUCACCUGCCACCAGAGCCCUGUUCCUCCAGCUACGGGGCAGGCGUCACGCAGCAAGUCACGCUGAGGGAGACAAUGCCCAGCAAGAUGUCUCCUGAGGCCCGCGGGCCUGUGCUUCCUCCCUGCUCAGCCGCUCAGCGACCACGUGGACCCGGCUCUGUCCCGUGUGUCCCCAGGAGGACACACACCUGCCCUGAGCCACCCUGUGUUUUCUGGUCGCCUUCAGCAGGAAUUGGGCGAACGAGUGGAUGCUAGAAGCGUGAGACCAGGACCAGAUUUUAAGUGACCUCCCCCCCCCCCCAGGGCUUGUGCCGAUGGCAUUCGGGUCGAGUGAGCAAACGCAGCGGCUGGCGAGCAGGGAGGCCGGGUUGCCUUGGAGCCCCGUGCCCGGCUGGCCCGUGUCGCAGUUGGUGGACCCCAGAGCGGCCACCCGCUGCCUCCCUGCCCGCUGCGGGUGGCAGGCCCGGGAGGCGUGGGGAGACAGGCCCGAAGGCCUUGUCUCCCUGACCUGGGCGGAGCCCCUGGGUGGCCCUGGGGUCCCCGGCCCAGCACCCCCGGCACCACCAGGAGCUUGUUAGGACGCAGCCUGAGUGGCGGCUGGGCGGGGAGCAGCCGCGGCAACGGCCUUGCCCCCCCAGGACAGUGGAGGCCCCAGCACAAGGUCCCCAGAGAGCCGGGGGGAUGCCGCGGACUCGCCCUCAGUGAGCCCGGGAGCCCCGCUCUCACCAGCCCCAGGCUCUGCUCGGCCGGCCCCGCGAGGCCCAUCCAGACCUCGUCCUACAGCGCCCGGCCCCUGUGUGCGGUGCCUGGAGCCGUGGGAAGAAAUCCCAGGCCGGUCGGGAUCCGGGGGUGCCACGCGGUGCCCCUCACACCCUCGCGGCGUCAGUGCCUCGUGCGAUUCGGCAGAGAUCACACCGGGGAGAAGCGCCCCUGGCUCCGCCGGGGAUGUGUCCGCGAACGUGAGCCUCACCUGGGCCAGGUGCCGCUGCCGGGGACGGGGUGCCGACGGCUCGGGCCGCGUCGGGGUUCCGGGCGCCCACCAGGCCUCUCCACGAUGCAAAUUGCGCUGAAGCUUCCUGCUCGGACUGGAGAGUCAGCGUCCCUGUGCAGGCUCCACGUUGGACGUCAGGUCCCACCCGGUCCCCCCGCCGCAGCCCCGACGGGAGUGAAGCUGUGGGAGCCGCUGCGUGUGCUCUCAUGGUGUCCAGGGCCCUCUGCUUCGUCAUGCUGUUCUUCUCAGAUGCCCUGUAAAAACGCGUUAUUUUGGGACGUCUGGGUGGCUCAGCGGUUUAGCGCCGCCUUCGGCCCAGGGCAUCACCCUGGGGUCCUGGGAUCGAGUCCCACGUCGGGCUCCCUGCAUGGAGCCUGCUUCUCCCUCUGCCUGUGUCUCUGCCUCUCUCUGUGUCUCUCAUGAAUAAAUAAAUAAAAUCUUAAAAAAAAAACCUUUUUAA